CCAACUUAAAUUCCCUUCCAAUUUCAAAAGUCCUAAACCCCAACAAAACCCCUUCUACAAACUCUCCCCAACUCUGGUACCCAAUUACCCAAACCCAAGAAUCCUCUCCUCUUCUACAAACAAAAAUGGAGAUUGACAGAGGAGAUGGGCGCAAGCCAAAUCAAUUAAGACCAGUGGCUUGUUCUCGCGGCAUUCUAAACCGUGCUCACGGCUCCGCCAGUUGGUCUCAAGGAGAAACCAAAGUUCUUGCUGCAGUUUAUGGACCUAAGGCUGGGACAAAGAAGAAUGAAAACCCGGAAAAGGCUUGCUUUGAGGUCAUAUGGAAGCCUAAAACAGGGCAGAUAGGGAAACCCGAAAAAGAAUGUGAGAUGAUAUUGAAGCGGACUUUGCAAAGCAUCUGCCUUUUGAAUGUUCAUCCAAAUACCACCACAUCGAUCAUAAUUCAGGUUGUAAAUGACGAUGGCGGUCUUCUCCCAUGUGCCAUCAAUGUGGCUUGUGCUGCCCUUGUGGAUGCUGGCAUUCCUUUGAAACAUCUUGCUGUUGCAAUAUGCUGUUCUCUAGCAAAAAAUGGACGGGUUCUUUUGGAUCCUAACAAGUCAGAGGAACAGCAUUGUUUAACAAUGGCAGAACAUGAAAGGAUUUGUAUAUUUAGCUUUUCCCAACUCGAUUCAGUCCGUGCUUCCUGAAGGAUCAUUACAAGUGGGAGGUGAACCAGUGGAACAUGGGAUUAUUACAUCUGUCACACAUGGUGCAAUGUCAGUGGAUGAUUACCUUCUUUGUCUGCAACGAGGACGGGCUGCAUGUGAGAAGUUAUCUGUCUUUAUCAGAAGCAGCUUAAAGUGACACAUUCCAAUUCACCUGUACAACUUUUGUGGGAGUUUAGGAGGCGAAUCAUCAGUUUUCUUCUACCUCGGCAUCCUCGACUGCUAAAUGUUUGACAAGCAUUGUUUUCUUUUGGUUGAAAUUCCAUUUGAGCUUUUGUUAUGGGGUGUGAAUCGGCUUGCAUGAGCCUGUGAUGCCAUGUACUGAUAAUCUUCUAGAUUUAGCAUGUUUCGUCUGUAAUCAGCACUGGAUGAAUGAUGAUGUAUAUCUCACUACAAAGUUCCUUUGCAAGACUACUUAUUUUACCCAUUUUGUCA